GAGGGGCUAAAAUACCCCUCAAACUGCGUGUAAAUAGUUCGUUUCCAUUGGCCUGGACGGAUGGUUUGUGAAUC
rnacentral:ncRNA from 1 species